rnacentral:pre_miRNA from 7 species
UUGUGAUGUGGUUGUGAAAGACCCCUGAAGGGAGACCCUCACUCAAGUCUCAGGAUAAUAGCGGACCCCCAAGAACUUAUGAGAGA